rnacentral:lncRNA from 1 species
UUCCUUUAAUCAUUUUCUUUGGCAAGAGAAUCAGAAGGAAAAAGCUCCAGAGUGACUCUUAUUAUAUUUUCCCUCCCUCUGCUUUUUCUUUCUGAUUCCCUCCAUCAUUCCCAGCUCUGUCAAGAUUGUGACAAACUUAAUUACCAGCAAACAGCAGGAAUCCCAGAUGACAUAUCCAUGGUUUUUUCUUUCUUCUGACUUCAUGAGAUCUUUGGUCUUUAAUGUAGAGUGAAUGAGGACGGGGAGCAGCUGCUGCUGGUGUCCAAUACCAGCAGCAUCUGAGCCCUUAUCUCCUUGAGAUCUUCAGUGUCAGGGUAGGAUGUGGAUAACAAAACCUCCCAGAGUGAUGAGAUUCAGGGCUGGAGGUUCAGAAAAUGGGAUUGUGCAUGGACAGGCCCAGAUCUGCCAUUUGGGGGCUGUCAUAGAAACCUGCUCUCAUUUCAGGACUGCUCACAGCAGGGACUGCACAGCCCAGGCCUCUUGCUCCAGGAUAAGGCACAUUUGUGCCUCCUGCAUCUGUAAAGGAAAUGUCAAGAUUUGCCACACAGGCACCUCUUUCCCCUGUGCUCCCCCUCUUGAGAGAGAGAAAAUGGUCAUGUGCCACUCAACCAAAGCAGGGGCUUUGCAGACACACCAAACACUGGAAGUUUGGUAGAAAGAAGCAGCAAAUCUCUUUUUUAUCUUAGUUUUAUCUUCACCAAACCUUCUCUGAACAACUCUGCACCCCUUUCUGCAUUAAUUUCCUCGAGCUGGGUAUCUCAGUGGCUCCUGACUUGCAGAGCAGCUCCUGCUGGUCCAGCUUCUUCUGCCUGCAAGGAAAUAAGUUUUCUGGCAGGAUUUGUUUUUCUGGGGCUCAGAGCAUGGCUGGGGCCCUGUGCCAGAUUUCAGUAAAUCAUUGCUCUGAGCACAUUGCAGCAGGGCUGGGACAACGUGGACAGUUCUGGCUUUGGGCUGUUCAUCAGCCCAAAGUGAUUUAAACUGAAAUUCUGCAUUUCUGGAUGAUGAAAAGGCUCAUAUGGGGAAGAGGAUUUAGCAGGACUCUGGGUGUGUCUCACUGCCCAUCAGUUUGGUACUGGAACCUCUGGUAAAACCCAAAUUUUAUGGAUAUUUGGCACAGCUGGGACAUGUGCCACCUCCAGGCUUCCUAAAGGAAACCUAAUUUUGUUAUUUGCAAUUAAACAAAGGCAGCAAGAGAACCCAAAUAAAAAAUUCCCUCCUAAGCA